GACGUAGGUGGCGAACGUUAUCCGGAAUUAUUGGGCGUAAAGGAUGCGUAGAUGGCGUAGUAAGUUAUCGGUGGUAAAUCGAGGCUCAACCUCGUGGAAGUCGGUAAUACUGUUAUGCUAGAGGAUAGGAGAGGUUAACGGAACUCCCUGUGGAGCGGUGAAAUGCGUAGAGAUCCGGAGGAACACCAAAGGCGAAGGCAGUGUCCUGGGGAGUACCUGACGCUCAGGUGCGAAAGCCAGGGGAGCGAACAGG
rnacentral:rRNA from 1 species